AGCGUAAAAGAUGCAAGACCCGUAAAAUAUGCAAGUUCCGGUUCCGGUCAUGUGAAUUUUACGUUAGGCUCUGUAAAAAGGGCAAGACCCGUAAAAAGUGCAAGUCUUAUAUUGUUUUGCAAUGACUUUGGUAUUUAAUUGGAGAAAAACAUCACUAAUAAAGAGUGUGAAUGGGUCGACGUUCGUUUCUUCAAGAUUGGGCAAAAAAACAUCACCAUGCGGUUUGCAGUGCGCAGGCUACUGUCCCCCUUCAAGAGCACCCAGGUCAUACAAGCUGAACACGGUUGACCUGCACACCUAACAGUGGAAAUAAUGAAACAAGUGAUCACACAUCCACCCACUUUCUGCCCGGAACAACAGUUAGCCUUCUGUGCAAGGUCAUGAGGUGAAACCUGGAUGUUUCGUAUCCAUGACUGCACACAGCUACUGUGAGAGUCUCGACUCUCUGGUGGUUCAGGGUCCCAUUUUCCCACAAUACUGCUGUAUACGAGGGCAGGACAAACAAAUGGUUACUGGUGAGAUUCACUUCUGCCUUUAUAAGGCCAAGUGGUGGUCUUCAAGUGACGCGGUCUUGGCUUAAGGGUCUCGGCUACAUCCAUGACAGGCAAUUUGGCUUGAAAAGCCAUAAGGCAGACACUGGAGAGCGACAUACAAAGAGUUGUUUUGGUUUCCAGGUUGACAUCAAUGGUCCUGAGAUGGGUGAACGCUGGCGGAAGCUGACUUGGGUAAACCGCCUCUCUCCCGUACAAAAGGAAGAAGGGUGUGAACUUGGUGCUGGAGUGCCGUUUGGUGCGCUGGGCAAACAGAGCUCCAUCAAGUUUUAGAUGGAAUUGGGAACGCUUCAACCCACUUGGUGAAAUAAUCUGUUGCGGUAAAAAUGAACUUGUUGCCACUGGAUGUUUCUUGGAAUGGGCCCAUAGGAUCUACACCAACCAGCUCGAAUGGGCGAGAAACCUAGAAUUUAAGGAACUAUUACAAACCGAACUUAUCAGAAGAAAAUAUACUAAUGGCUAUGCAUCGUGGACUCGCAUUUUUCCUUAAAAUGCAGUUUCAAAAUUGAUAUAGAACAAUGUAUUUGUCAGCGUCCCAUAUAUAGCACAUUAUAUAUUAACUGUUUGUAAUUUGUACAUUCAUGUUACUUAUUUUGUAAUAUGUAUAUUAUACAAUUGCUGUACAUAGAAUUUAUAACAUCCUUUUUCUCAUUGAAUGUAUAUGGUCCUGGUGUUGUUGUCUCCGUCUUCGUCCGCGUCGUGCUAAAACCUUAACAAUUUGUCAAGGUUUUGAACAUUAGCUCUAAAAUCAAAGUGCUUCAACCGACAACUUCAUAUGUAGCUGCACCUUGAUGAGUUCUAAAUGCCACACCCAAUUUUGGGUCACUAGGUCAAAGGUCAAGGUCACUGUGACUUGAAAAAAAAUUCUGUCAAGCUUUCAUGUAUUCAAAACUGCACCCGCAGCUGAGCGUGCCCGUUAUGCUAUGCUCUUGUUCCUUUAUUGUUAGGUUUUUAUCUGUUUUUACUGUACAGAGAAUAUUUUACGUAUUGUAAUACCUUUAUUUGCUGGAGUUCGGGUUUCUUGGCUGGUUUUAAGGGGUCAGACUUCUGACAAGCCUCACAGGUACUCACCUAAAAUAACAGAUUGUAUUGUUUAUUUAUAAUUUAUUGUCUUUGUGUGUCUAUAUAUGUAUACAGUGGUCUUUAGUAAAAGAUAAAUAUAUAAUCACAAGUGAAAAACCAAAAUAUGUAAACCAAAAUUUAAAAAGCAUGUGGAAGUUAUCAGAUGCAUGUCAUAAUAAGGCUUUAUAGAGGUAUAACAACAGGGAACUUUACGUUUAAAUUGUUUUUGCACCUUACUCAAAAGCUGUGUUUGUGACUGUUUGAAGAAAUCUAAUCUUACAUUUUAAUAAAUAACCAUUAAUCAAGAAAUUUGCAGUAAAGAAAGGAUUAAUUACUUUUUAACCUCUACAAUUCCCACCUUUUCCCUGAUUUAUACUUACGUAUUUCUUAAUGUCCUCUGUGAGCCCUGGCCACCAAUAACGCAAGUUGAUCGCCUCUCUAGUCUUGUUUAUGCCACUGUGGCCACCAAAGGCACUUCCAUGGAACUCCUUAAGGAUAUUGUUUACAUCUUUUUUCAAAACAACCUUUGUACCAUCGAUCUUUCCAGGUACAAAUCUGUACAGAUCACAACCUAAAACCAAAUUUAUGAAAUACAUUGUUUUUAACAUUAUAACAUAUUUCAUGUGUAAAAAUCACAAAUGUGUUUUCAGCAUAAAAAUUCCUUUGUAUGUUAACUUUAUGUUCAACAAAAAGCUUGGCUUAAAUGAAAUGGUUCAGGCAUAAAAAUGAUAAAGACGAUGGGUUAGAAAAUAGUACUUCCGUCUAUUUUAUUUCAUAAAAUGUGCAAGAAAUGCUUCAUAUGUGUUAAUUAUUGACUGUUGAUUUUAUAUAACAAAUAUAGCUGAAUUACAAUGUAAUGGGUCACAAUCAGGUCUGAAAUUGUAUUUUUCUUGCAUACUUCAGAAAGGCUGUAACUGUGUAUCUUAUGCAAUAAAUACAUUUGUAUCCCUCGUUAUUGUUAGGCUGUAGAAUAUGGCAAGUCAAUUUUGUGACUAAUUUUCUAACUAUUCAUCUUUUUCAACAAAUAUUGCUUACUUAUAAUGUAUUUUUCUAAUUUUUUUAAACAGGCACAAAAACGCUUAAAGCAAUGUUUUUUGUAUCCUUCAGUUAGAAAAUAGUGUUUUUGUUGUUCAUUUUUGUCUGUAAAAUAAUCAAGUCAGUAUUCUUAUGUGCUUCACUUUGGAAAUGCUCAUCUUAUUAAACAAAUAUAGGUCACUUACAAUGUUAUUGUUUAUAAACAGGAACUAAAAUGCUGAAAUCAAUGUUUUUCGCAUACUCGGGGUAAGAAAUGAGUGAUUUUGUUUGGGUAAAGUUAAUUUUGGACCAUAAAAUAUGCAAGUCAGUAUUCUUAUGUGCUUAAUUUGUAUGCCCCCCUUCGAAGAAGAGGGGGUUUAUUGUUUUGCUCAGUCCGUCCGUAUGUAUGUAUGUCCAUAUGUCCGUCCACCAGAUGGUUUCUGGAUGUUAACUCAAGAACGCUUAGGCCAAAGAUCAUGAGACUUCAUAGGUACAUUGAUCAUGACUCGCAGAUGGCCCCUAUUGAUUUUCAGGUCACUAGGUCCAAAGAUCACGGUCACGGUGAAGAGAAACCGUAAAAUGGUUUUCGGAUGAUAAGUCAAGAACGCUUACUCCUAGGAUUACAAACUUGACAGGUACAUUGGUCAUGACUGGCAGAUGACCCCUAUUGAUUUUCAGAUCACUAGGUCAAAGGUCAAGGUCACAGUGACUCGAAACAGUAAAAUGGUUUCCUGAUGAUAACGGAAGAAUAUUUAGGCCUAGGAUCAUGAAACUUCAUAGGUACAUCGAUCAUGACUGGCAGAUGACCCCUAUUUAUUUUCAGGUCACUAGGUCAAAGGUCAAGGUCAGUGACAAAAAACAUAUUCACACAAUGGCUGCCACAACUGACAGCCCAUAAGGGGGGCAUGCAUGUUUUACAAACAGCCCUUGUUUAAUUGUUCAUCAACAAAUAUUGUUUUUAUAAUGUAAUUAUUUAUGACAGGCACUCAAAUUCUUAAAGCAUUAUGCUUUCUCAAGAUUAGCUAAGCGGGGCUUAACAUUAACCGAAAAACCAACUUGCCCUAUCGUCAAGUACUUAGAAAAUCUACUUGCCCUGAACGAAAAGCCACUUGCCCAAACAUGAAAUAUCACAUCAACUGUAAACCUCAUAUUUUUUAUAAACCCAAAUGAUACACCUCAAAACCUUUUUUCUUUUUGAUCAUUUAACAUAAUGAUUACAGCAAUGAAAGUCUAAUUAAAGUACCUUAAUUAAAUGCUCUUUUUUUUUUGCACUUUUCCGGGCGGACAACUAGAUUAUAAAAUUACUUGCCCGCACCUAACUUUUACUUGCCAGGGACAAUAGAACAACCCUGCUAAGUGAUUUUUUUAUAUUUAAAUGUGGAUUUUAUGCAGUAAAAUAUGCAAUUCAAUAUUCUUAUGUGCUUAAUGGUCAUCUUAUUCAACAAAUAUAGCUUACUUUUAAUGUUGUUUAUAAACAGGCACUAAAAUGCUAAAAGCAAUGUUUAAUGCAUACUUUGGUCAAGAAAAUAUUUAUUUCCUUGUUAAAAAUGUGGAUUUUAGGCAGUUAAAUAUGCAAGUCAGUAUUUUUUGUGCUUUUCUCAAUGUUCAUCUUAUUUAACCCUUUCAGUGCUGGAACCGAAUUUUGAAGGAAGAAUGUGGCGUCUCAUCAGGAUCCAAACUGUGUUCUAUUCUGAUUGUAUUCUUUGAAAAAAAUCGAAGAAAAUGCUAAUUUUAGAAAUUUUGCAGACGACAUUUUAGCAGAUGACAAAUUUCCCAGCAUGCAAAGGGUUAACAGAUAUAGCUUUCUUACAAUUUGAUAGUUUAUAAGCAAUGCAGUGUGAUUCUCCUAGUAAAAUUGUCAUUUAGAGCCUUAAAAUAUGCAAGUCAAUAUAUUUAUGUGUACAUUUUACAACUGUUAAUCGUUUUAGACCCACACGGCUUGGAUUUCAUCAAAUUGGACACAGUAGGCAUAAAAAAAACAAGAAAGUUUUUAUCAUAAUAAUGUACCUUUUAAGAAGAACUUCUUUGCCUUGCUCCUGAAGUUGUCCCUUCGAUUCUUGUCUGCCUUGGAGGAGUUCUCUUGCAUUCGUUCAGGGUAGGUGUUAGAUUCCAGGAAGCACACAAGUUCUUGGUAAUCACUAAAAUCCAUUAUGUUCAGUUGCUUUAUUCAGCUUUUGAUAACAAUAUUGCUAUUAAAUGAUCAAAUUUGCAUUCAGACCAUGUGUUUGGAGCAUAUAUACUUGUUCCCUGUAACUUCGAUUGGAUCAUUGGACUGUACUAUUUUGAUUGGCUCACUAAGUUAUGAGCGCUAUACCAAUAUAUCCCCUAAUCACCUACCGACUGGCCCCUCUCAUGCCAUGUUUACACAGGUCAAAAGACUCCACUUCCUGGCCCUGGUGAAACAGUCUCAACUUCAUGACCCCUAUAUGGGAACUGUGUACAGGUAUACAGACCCCCAUUCCUGACCCCUAUCACAAAAGGUGUGAAAUAUCCAAACUGGGACAUGUCAAAAUAAUGGUUGAUAUCCAGUCUCUCUAGGCUUCACUAAAUUGCAUAAUGUGCUUUUUUUUAAAUUAAAAAAUCUGUUUUCAAUAAUAAUUUAUGUCUUCGAUACCUAUUUUAGAUUUUAUACAUGUACACAAUUAUGUUACCCAAAUACAUGAUGGCUAAUGGUUUCAUGUACACAUACAUUUAACAGACUUACAUAAAUAAUUGUUGGUUGUAAAUACUGAUUAAAGUGAUAGUUGUAUUAAAUGAUACAAAAGUGAUAUUACUAUUUAUCACAAUAUUCAUUUGAUAACUGUAUAUGUGACCGUUGCCUCAGCUCUUAUCAUCUGAUUUAGUUUGAUUAUAUAAUUUAUUUCAAUGACUUAAAAUUUCACUCAUGUCAUUGUAUAAAUAUAGUAAGCUUUCACUUCAAAUUUGAUGUGAAAUUAACGAAAUAUGAUUCUUAAUACUUGUUUGUAGUAUGCCAUAAACUGGGUUAACUAACCAAUGUCAUCACUAUAAGUAUUACAACUAUGAUUAGAAUCUUUGAGAAAUAAAGUUUUACAAGUGAACACUAUAAUUUCCUCUGCAGUUACAUAUUCAUUAUAUUUGGAGGGUCACCAAUUACAGUCCAAAUGUAACUUUAGUUCACCAAACCAAGUGUGCAGGUUGUUAUAUUAAAUAAUACAUGCAAUAAAUGUUAUCACUGUC